CUCUGUGGGGUGAUGGGGUGCAGCAGAUAAAGUAGCAGCCAUCACCACCCCCACGGCCACCAUUAUCUUGCCCCUCCAUCACCAGUGGUCACCUCUGAGCCCGCCCAUCUCCUCCCUCCACCAGGAGCAUCUCCUUCUCGGUCAUCACUGUCAUCACCAUCUUCGCCAUCAUCGUCGUGGAUGAGGCGAUCUCCCCCCAAAGCCAACCUCCUGCCAACUGUUCACUACACUCCCUGUUACUGUGCUUACUGUCCCCUCCUUUCUCGCACAGGUGGCUGAUCAAGAGCCCUCCCUCCUGGAGCUGGAGCCCAGCGGUCUGGGAGAAGGAAGACCAGGGACUGCGGCCAGCGGAGUGUGGAGGGACUUUUGGCCUCAGUGCCGGCAUCCCGUGGGCAGCAGGGAAGUCCCAGUCCAAGCCUGACUCAGAGAGAAAGGGUGGCCCAGAUCUGACAUACCCCAAAGCACCCCCAUUUGCCAUCACCAAGUCCAUCCUCCUCAACAGGCAACAUUACAGCCCUCUCCCUACGGACGGAGGCAGCGGAGGGGUAGGGGUGCAGGGGAAAUGGUCAGGAAACAGGAUAGAUUAACCACUGCUGCGACCUUCUCCCUUUGCCCUUUGUCUGGGCAUGUUUCUAAUCCCUUCUUGAUCUAGAGCCUUGCCUCAUCCUUUGAGAUGCCAAAAAGGGAAACACCAGUGCAGUCAUUUCUAAAGAUGGCCACUAUUAGCCUCUCCCCUCCCGUGGUGGGAUGCCACUCCUCCACCAACGGCCGGUUCGCUCCCCUGCCUGGGAUCCAGGCUGGCCUUGUGGCUGACCCACGGAAUGAGCAGAAAUGGUGGCUCGGGGACCCCAAGCCCGAUAUCAGACUCUAAGACCAAUAGUUUCUGUCUCUUUUCCUUCGGAACGUUCACUCUUUGAAAGCCCCCUCUCUUACAACCCACCUUGCCAUGAGGAGCUCCAGCCACAGGCAUGAGGCCACAUGAUGGGGGAAGAGAUGUGGACUACCAGCAACGUAAGUGAGCCAUCUUGGAUGUUAUAACCCCUUUGGCCAGAUGACCGACCCCCCCCCACACACACACACAAUGACAUCACAAGUAGAAGAAGAACUGCCCGGCUGAGCCCAGUCGCCACAGAAUUGUGACAGCCUGCACUGGUACCAUUGUCUCCAUCACCAGCCAGCCCUGCUGCCUUCGUCAGUCGCCGCCGACUUCACUUCACCGAGGCUGCUAACAAACACCUCCACCUCGAUCAUCACCAUCAGGGCCACAAACAGCCUCCCACUUUCUACAGUGAGCCCAUCAGCCGCACCACUGUUGCUGCCACCUUGACCUCGGUCACCAUCCUGAGUCACCCUUGCCACUCCAGCCCCCAGCACAGCAGGCCGUCAUAGAGGACUACCACGGGAGUUGACCCCAAACGUCCUUCCAACUGGCCCAUGCCUCCCCCGGAGGAGCACAGCACAUGUCCAUGCUCCAUGGCGCUCUUCCCCAAGAGCCCCCUUCUCACCUGACAGAGUGUUGGGGCCACAGCCGGGGACAGCAGCUUUGGAGAGCGAGUUUAAGCAUAGAGGACACUUGGCUGCCUGUGGGGGGCUUGGUGACGAAGAUGGGGGUGGCAAAGAGGAAGAUGAAGAAGGCCAAACCCACGCAGCCCACGGGGAUGCUGUAGCCCAGCAGGAAGCCGACGUUCUGUUGGAUAAAAGCCACCACCAGCAGCGAGAGCACGGCACCCACGUUGAUACUCCAGUAAAGCCAGUUGAAGAAGCGACGGCUGGCAUGGCGACCAAGAUCCAUCACCUGCAGGGCAGGGGUAAGAAUAAGGGAGGACCGGGGGCACCCUGCCACGAGGUCCUGCACCCCCUCUCCCACAGAGGCACUUUCCUGGUCCCUGAUCACUAAAUAGACACUAAAUAAAUAUUGGUUGAUAGAAUGAAUAA